rnacentral:rRNA from 1 species
UACGUAGGGGGCUAGCGUUGUCCGGAAUCAUUGGGCGUAAAGAGCGUGUAGGCGGUCCGGUAAGUCCGUUGUGAAAGUCAAGGGCUCAACCCUUGAAUGCCGGCGGAUACUGUCGGGCUAGAGUCCGGAAGAGGCAAGUGGAAUUCCCGGUGUAGCGGUGAAAUGCGCAGAUAUCAGGAGGAACACCGAUGGCGAAGGCAGCUCGCUGGGACGGUACUGACGCUGAGGCGCGAAAGCGUGGGGAGCGAACAGG